rnacentral:rRNA from 1 species
AUUGAACGCUGGCGGCAUGCCUUACACAUGCAAGUCGAACGGCAGCGCGGGCUUCGGCCUGGCGGCGAGUGGCGAACGGGUGAGUAAUAUAUCGGAACGUACCCAGGGGUGGGGGAUAACGUAGCGAAAGUUACGCUAAUACCGCAUACGCUCUAUGGAUGAAAGCAGGGGACCGCAAGGCCUUGCGCUCACGGAGCGGCCGAUGGCAGAUUAGGUAGUUGGUGGGAUAAAAGCUUACCAAGCCGACGAUCUGUAGCUGGUCUGAGAGGACGACCAGCCACACUGGGACUGAGACACGGCCCAGACUCCUACGGGAGGCAGCAGUGGGGAAUUUUGGACAAUGGGCGCAAGCCUGAUCCAGCCAUGCCGCGUGCAGGAUGAAGGCCUUCGGGUUGUAAACUGCUUUUGUACGGAACGAAAAGACUCUGGUUAAUACCUGGGGUCCAUGACGGUACCGUAAGAAUAAGCACCGGCUAACUACGUGCCAGCAGCCGCAGUAAUAC